UAUGGCACCCAUAGGAGACACUGAAGAUGCCCAGCUUCAAGCAUUUAAGGAGAGCAAAUCUGCUGCAGUUCAGACGCCUGUCUUCUCCUCUACAGCCAGACGUUCUCCUUCCCCCUGGAAACUGCCAAACUGCCAAACUGCCAAACUGCCAUACUGCCAUCCCUGCUCUGCCUUUGCGCCCAGACUGUUAAGAGGCCUCUCUUUGAGUCAAGAGACCGAGCUCCUUGCCGCGGCGUAUUGGACGACCUCCGUGUGUCUCUGUCAGCGAGUGUCUCCAGGUGGCCUGCCAAGGACUGAAACCCAUCAGCUCUCUGCAGAACCAUGGGAGG